GUAAUUUCUCACUCCUCGUAACUCCGUUUGAAAUGCCGCUUGAUUCUGUGGUAAGCUAACGAAAUUCCGGUCGAUUCGACGCCAGUUUCAUGGAUUUCUAAGCAGUAAUGAAUUCGGAAGAAGCAUUUGAAGUUCGAGGUCUGAUGCAGAACUUUGGGCUACGGGUUUAGAGUGUUGUGGCUGCAAAUUCUGUUUUUCAACUAGCUCCGAAUAUGUUGUUAGCACGAUUCAAACGUCAUGUUCAGGUAACAGGUUGAGCAUGAUAAAUGGAUUUUCAAGAGGAUUGAAGUAAAGACGCUGUUUAUGGAAACUUCGUAGCAUUCACCUGUUAAAUUAUUAUAGAAGAUGAUUCAAGGCUUGAUCCUGAUUGUUAUGCAUUCUAUUUCGCUCUGAUGUAUAAUAUAUUAUAGGUUGUACAUUAUGACAGUUUAUUCAGGAUUUUGUCAAGAUUAUGUAUUGUCUGGCAAAUUAUCUUGUAAUUGUACUAUGUCGGACAAAAGUUAUUCUGUAAUUUUAAUGUUUCCCGAUUCAGUUAUGUAUGCUCCUAUUGA